rnacentral:rRNA from 1 species
ACAUGCAAGUCGAGCGGAUGAAAGAGAGCUUGCUCUCUGGAUUCAGCGGCGGACGGGUGAGUAACACGUGGGCAACCUGCCUGUAAGACUGGGAUAACUCCGGGAAACCGGGGCUAAUACCGGAUAACUUCUUUUCCCGCAUGGGGAGAGGUUGAAAGACGGUUAUGCUGUCACUUACAGAUGGGCCCGCGGCGCAUUAGCUAGUUGGUGGGGUAACGGCCUACCAAGGCGACGAUGCGUAGCCGACCUGAGAGGGUGAUCGGCCACACUGGGACUGAGACACGGCCCAGACUCCUACGGGAGGCAGCAGUAGGGAAUCUUCCGCAAUGGACGAAAGUCUGACGGAGCAACGCCGCGUGAGUGACGAAGGCCUUCGGGUCGUAAAACUCUGUUAUCAGGGAAGAACAAGCAUCGUUUAACUGACGGUGCCAUGACGGUACCUGACCAGAAAGCCACGGCUAACUACGUGCCAGCAGCCGCGGUAAUACGUAGGUGGCAAGCGUUGUCCGGAAUUAUUGGGCGUAAAGCGCGCGCAGGCGGCUUCUUAAGUCUGAUGUGAAAGCCCACGGCUCAACCGUGGAGGGUCAUUGGAAACUGGGAGGCUUGAGUGCAGAAGAGGAGAGCGGAAUUCCACGUGUAGCGGUGAAAUGCGUAGAGAUGUGGAGGAACACCAGUGGCGAAGGCGGCUCUCUGGUCUGUAACUGACGCUGAGGCGCGAAAGCGUGGGUAGCGAACAGGAUUAGAUACCCUGGUAGUCCACGCCGUAAACGAUGAGUGCUAAGUGUUAGGGGGUUUCCGCCCCUUAGUGCUGCAGCAAACGCAUUAAGCACUCCGCCUGGGGAGUACGGCCGCAAGGCUGAAACUCAAAGGAAUUGACGGGGGCCCGCACAAGCGGUGGAGCAUGUGGUUUAAUUCGAAGCAACGCGAAGAACCUUACCAGGUCUUGACAUCCCGCUGACCGGUCUGGAGACAGAUCUUUCCCUUCGGGGACAGCGGUGACAGGUGGUGCAUGGUUGUCGUCAGCUCGUGUCGUGAGAUGUUGGGUUAAGUCCCGCAACGAGCGCAACCCUUGAUCUUAGUUGCCAGCAUUCAGUUGG